rnacentral:rRNA from 1 species
AUUGAACGCUGGCGGCAGGCCUAACACAUGCAAGUCGAACGAGUGGCGGACGGGUGAGUCAUGUCUGGGAAACUGCCCGAUGGAGGGGGAUAACUACUGGAAACGGUAGCUAAUACCGCAUACCAUCGGAUGUGCCCAGAUGGGAUUAGCUAGUAGGUGGGGUAACGGCUCACCUAGGCGACGACCCCUAGCUGGUCUGAGAGGGUGACCAGCCACACUGGAACUAGGACACGGUCCAGACUCCGACGGGAGGCGGCGGUGGGGAAGAUUGCACAAUGGGCGCAAGCCUGAUGCAGCCAGGCGGCGUGUAGGAAGAGGGCUUUCGGGUUGUAAAGUACUUUCAGCGAGGAGGCGUUACUCGCAGAAGAAGCACCGGCUAACUCCGUGCCAGCAGCCGCGGUAAUUC